rnacentral:rRNA from 1 species
CGGGUGAGUAACACGUAUCCAACCUGCCGUCUACUCUUGGACAGCCUUCUGAAAGGAAGAUUAAUACAAGAUGGCAUCAUGAGUCCGCAUGUUCACAUGAUUAAAGGUAUUCCGGUAGACGAUGGGGAUGCGUUCCAUUAGAUAGUAGGCGGGGUAACGGCCCACCUAGUCUUCGAUGGAUAGGGGUUCUGAGAGGAAGGUCCCCCACAUUGGAGCUGAGACACGGUCCAA